UACGUAGGGUGCAAGCGUUGUCCGGAAUUAUUGGGCGUAAAGGGUAGGUAGGUGGUCUCGUUUGUCAGGGGUGAAAGCCUUGGGCUUAACCCAAGAAGUGCCCCUGAAACGGCGAGACUCGAGUCCUGGAGAGGGUCGUGGAAUUCCCGGUGUAGCGGUGAAAUGCGUAGAGAUCGGGAGGAACACCAGAGGCGAAGGCGGCGACCUGGACAGGUACUGACGCUGAUACGCGAAAGCGUGGGGAGCAAACAGG
rnacentral:rRNA from 1 species